rnacentral:rRNA from 1 species
UACGGAAGGUCCGGGCGUUAUCCGGAUUUAUUGGGUUUAAAGGGAGCGCAGGCGGGGUAUUAAGCGUGACGUGAAAUGCCGCGGCUCAACCGUGGAAGUGCGUCGCGAACUGGUUCCCUUGAGUGCGUGCGACGUGGGCGGAAUUCGUGGUGUAGCGGUGAAAUGCUUAGAUAUCACGAAGAACCCCGAUUGCGAAGGCAGCCCACGAGUCCGUAACUGACGCUAAAGCUCGAAGGUGCGGGUAUCGAAC